GUCCUUCAUUUUCUUCCCAAGAAUUUCCUCAUCAGCAUUGUACCAUUUAUAUGCCAGUGGAUUUUUACUAGUAGGACCCUCAUACUUAAUCUUAGGAAUACCAGGGAAAAAUUCCCCUUCCCAAUCCCCAGAAUGACUGCAUUCAUUAUUUAGAUCAGCAGGACAUGUGGAAGACUCAGCAAUCGCUCCAAGAAAUAACACAAUCAAACACAAAACCAGAACCGAUACUUCCCGAGACUUCAUUUUCCUUUCCCUACUUAAAUCGAAGUGAUCCUCGAAGAACUACAAAA
rnacentral:misc_RNA from 1 species